AACGAACGCUAGCGGUGCGUUUUAAGCAUGCAAGUCGAGCGGUAACAGGGGGUGCUUGCACUCUGCUGACGAGCGGCGGACGGGUGCGUAACACGUAGGAAUCUGGCCGGUAGAGGGGGAUAGCCCGAAGAAAUUCGGAUUAAUACCGCAUACGCCCUAAGGGGGAAAGCAGGGGAUCUUAGGACCUUGCGCUAUCGGAUGAGCCUGCGUCGGAUUAGCUAGUUGGUGGGGUAAAGGCCUACCAAGGCAACGAUCCGUAGCUGAUCUGAGAGGAUGAUCAGCCACACUGGGACUGAGACACGGCCCAGACUCCUACGGGAGGCAGCA
rnacentral:rRNA from 1 species